AGAGUUUGAUCCUGGCUCAGGACGAACGCUGGCGGUGUGCUUCACACAUGCAAGUCGAACGGAGUAGCAAUACUCAGUGGCGGACGGGUGAGUAACACGUGGGAAUCUACCAUUAGGUGGGGAAUAACAGGCCGAAAGGACUGCUAAUGCCGCAUAUGUAGGCAUCUCGACAGAGAUGUUUAUGAAAGGAGUAAUCCGCCUUUUGAUGAGCCCGCGUCCGAUUAGCUAGUUGGUAGGGUAAAAGCCUACCAAGGCGACGAUCGGUAGGUGGUCUGAGAGGAUGAUCACCCACAAUGGGACUGAGACACGGCCCAUACUCCUACGGGAGGCAGCAGUGGGGAAUUUUACGCAAUGGGGGGAACCCUGACGUAGCGACACCGCGUGAGCGAAGAAGCCCUUUGGGGUGUAAAGCUCUGUCAACAGGAACGAAACAAAUGACGGUACCUGUGGAGGAAGCAUCGGCUAACUACGUGCCAGCAGCCGCGGUAAGACGUAGGAUGCAAGCGUUGUCCGGAUUUAUUGGGCGUAAAGAGUUCGUAGGCGGUUUGUUAAGUCUGAUGUUAAAGACCGGGGCUCAACCUCGGAAAUGCAUUGGAUACUGGCAGACUGGAGUGCAGUAGAGGCUAGUGGAAUUCCCAGUGUAGCGGUGAAAUGCGUAGA
rnacentral:rRNA from 1 species